rnacentral:rRNA from 1 species
UAGGGAAUAUUGGUCAAUGGGCGAGAGCCUGAACCAGCCAUGCCGCGUGCAGGAAGACGGCCUUCUGGGUUGUAAACUGCUUUUAUCAGGGAACAAAAAGGCCAUGCGUGGCAAAUUUCGUGUACCUGAAGAAUAAGGACCGGCUAACUCCGUGCCAGCAGCCGCGGUAAUACGGAGGGUCCAAGCGUUGUCCGGAUUUAUUGGGUUUAAAGGGUGCGUAGGCGGCCUUAUAAGUCAGUGGUGAAAUCCUCCAGCUCAACUGGAGAACUGCCAGUGAUACUGUAGGGCUUGAGUACAGACGAGGUAGGCGGAAUUUAUGGUGUAGCGGUGAAAUGCAUAGAUACCAUAAAGAACACCUAUUGCGAAGGCAGCUUACUAGACUGUAACUGACGCCGAGGCACGAAAGCGUGGGGAGCGA